AGGUUGUGUACUUUGGGGACAAAACUAUUCUUGAGGAUCUAAUUGAGUUCUGGCCGUUAUGCGACUGCUUGAUUGCCUUCUACUCCAGUGGAUAUCCUUUGAAGAAUGCAGAAGCAUAUGCUUCAUUAAGAAAGCCUUUCCUUGUGAAUGAAUUGGAACCACAAUACCCUCUUCAUGAUCGGAGGAAAGUAUACGAGGUAUGUAUCAGUUUUUGGUUAUUUUUUCCAUUCAGGUGUAGCCGAAAAAACUUAUGAUUUUGUUUAUUUUUUAAUAAGGAAGAUUCUUGCAGCUCUUUAAAAAAUCUCCUUUGGUUAUUCAGCCUUUACUCUGAUUUAUUUGUUUUAAUUGUUGGGUUCUUUCAGUGUUAUUUGUAAUGGCUGAGGUUUGAUGCCGUAGUUUCCAUUUGCGGCAGUCGUUCUGUUUUCUUAAUGCUGAGAGUUAUACUUCCAUCAUAACAGAAUAUUUAUUUUUAGGUGGUAAGAUCUU